rnacentral:rRNA from 1 species
GACGAACGCUGGCGGCGUGCUUAACACAUGCAAGUCGAGCGGUAAGGCCCUUUCGGGGGUACACGAGCGGCGAACGGGUGAGUAACACGUGGGUGACCUGCCCUCAGCUCUGGGAUAAGCCCGGGAAACUGGGUCUAAUACUGGAUAUGACUCCAUGACGCAUGUUGUGGGGUGGAAAGCCUUGUGCGGCUGAGGAUGGGCCCGCGGCCUAUCAGCUUGUUGGGGGGGUGA